GACGAACGCUGGCGGCGUGCUUAACACAUGCAAGUCGAACGGAAAGGCCCUGCUUUUGUGGGGUGGUCGAGUGGCGACCGGGUGAGUAACACGUAGGUAACCUGCCCUUGACUUUGGGAUAACUUAAGGAAACUGGGGCUCAUACCGGAUAGGAGCUCCUGCUGCAUGGUGGGGGCUGGAAAGUUUCGGCGGUUGGGGAUGGACUCGCGGCCUAUCAGCUUGAUGGGUGGGUAGUGGCUUACCAAGGUUUUGCCAGGUGGCCGGCCUGCGCGGAUGACCGGCCACGUUGGGACUGAAAUGCGGCCCGGACUCCUACGGUAGGCAACGGAGGGGAAUAGUGCACUAUGGGCGGAGCCCUAAUGCAGCAACGCCGCGUGGGGGAUGACGGCCUGCGGGUUGUAAACCGCAUUCGCCUGUGACGAAGCGUGAGUGACGGUAAUGGGUAAAGAAGCACCGGCUAACUACGUG
rnacentral:rRNA from 1 species